UCAUAGAGGAAAGGGCUGUGAUAUUUUGCAGCAUGUUGGUUCAGGACCUUGGAGAGUGGCAUAAGCCUAUGUGUUCUCUGUCCCUUUCACUGAGUUCUCUGGCCAACAGUGGGGGUGCUUCUAAAGAUUCUAUGUCAGGCAUCAUAAUAAGAUCCCAAUAACAGAGGUCAGUGGUGCAAGAGUUGCCCUGUUUUACCAUAGGGGAGGGAGGUUACUGAGGCAAUAUGGGAAACGAGGAAUAAGUUACCAGGGGCCUGUGGAAACUAGUGGCACCAAAGUGGACAGACUGAGACCGCAGAUCAGACUGGCAUCAAGAUAACAGCUGGGAAGUGACUGUGGGUUAAAUAUUCAUGGAUAACUUCCAGGCACUGGCUUACGCAGCUGUAAAAGAGACAUGUGCUGCCUCUCUCCAGGUAUCCAGAAAAGGCCCUCGUUCCUAAGACAACAAUUCAAGGUCAAGAGAACAAAAAAGAAAUUGAAAAAGCCACAAAACCAUAAAAUACCUAGGAUUAAAUCUCACAAGACCUCUGUGAAGAUGACUACAAAACUUUACCGAAGAACGUAAAAGAAGACUUGAAUACCUCAUGCCUGGAUGGAAUAAAGAAUAUCAUAAAGAAGAGAAUCAUCCCCAAAGUAAUCUAUAUAUCCAAUGCAAUUCCAACCCUGAUUAAACAGGAUUGUUUAAUGACAUUUGUCAAGCUGGUUGUAAGAUUCAUCUUGAAGAAAACAACGUUUAAGAAUGGGAUAGCUAUUUUUGAGAAUGAAUAAUAUACAGAGACUUAGUUCACCAGUCAUUGAGACAUAUCAGAAAGCUACCAUCUUUAGAACAGUUUAGAACUGGUGCCAGAACAGACAGAACCACCAAUUAGAAAGAAUAAAGACAAACAUACACAAACAGU
rnacentral:lncRNA from 1 species